rnacentral:rRNA from 1 species
AUGUGCGACUACUUCUUGAAGAGGGUGGAUGGCGACCAGCAGGCCGGAGACCUCACCGACAUCGUCCGAGCUGGCGGGGCCAUGCCGGCUGGCUCUGCCGAUCCCCCGUCGUCGACGGCCACCGAGUGGCUGCAGCUGCCGACUGACCCGAUCCUCUUCCCGCUGCCCCAGACGUCGUCCUCGGACGGUGCUGGGCCGAGCAGCGCAGACGCUCUCGGUGACCCGUUCUCCGGCCUCCCGGAUGCCUUCAGCACCGACUACCCCUCCUCCUCCGGCAGCGCCGCCGCCGACUUCUUCGACGCCGUCCAGGACGCGAUGGGUAUCGGCAUGGCCAAGCAGGUCGGCUUCGUCGACACGACCGGCUGCGGCGGCGGUGGAACAACUGUUCGUGCUGGUGGCAGGUUCCUGGACAUGAGGAAUCACCAUAUGUUUCCAAGGGAGAUGCCGAUGCGCGGGCUGUCGCCGUACGCGCUGAUGGGCGGUGACGCGGCGAAGCUCGGCGGGCCGAUGGCCGGGCACGGGGUGGCGGCUGGCCCGUGCGCGUUCGACGCCGUCGCAGGGCUGCAGAUGUCGUCCUCACCGCGUGGCGGGGGCAUCAAGCGCAGGAAGAACCAGGCAAGGAAGGUGGUGUGCAUCCCAGCACCUGCAGCAGCAGUGGCCGGGAAGACCACUGGGGAGGUUGUUCCUUCUGAUCUCUGGGCUUGGAGGAAGUAUGGCCAGAAGCCUAUCAAAGGCUCCCCCUACCCAAGAGGGUACUACAGAUGCAGUAGCUCCAAGGGGUGCCCUGCACGGAAGCAAGUGGAGCGCAGCCGGACGGACCCCAACAUGCUGGUCAUCACCUACACCUCGGAGCACAACCACCCGUGGCCGACGCAGCGCAACGUGCUCGCCGGCUCCACGCGGUCCCACUACGCCAAGAAUAGCAGCAGCAACACAGCUGCAGCUGCGUCCAAGAACAGCAAGAACUGCUCGCGCAAUCAGCACAAGCCAGUCGUCAAGGCAGAAUCAAAGGAUCAAUCCGCCGCUACCCCGGCCGCCACGAGCACGACCACCACGGCGACCACAAGCACCGGCAACAACACACCUCCCAUGACUGUGAAAGAGGAGGCAGAAAUGGAGAGAAGGAUAGGCGGUGAUACUACAGCAACGGUGGGUUAUUACAGUGAUCAUCUCCUGCAGCAGAUGUUCAGCCAGAGCUACAGGCCGAUGAUGCCCGAGGAGGCCGGCGGCUACCACCACCAGGACGACUUCUUCGCUGACCUCACUGAGCUGGACUCCGACCCUGUCAGCCUCAUCUUCUCCACGGAGUACAUGGAGGCCAGACCUGGCAAGGAGAAGGCAGCAGCCAAGGACGACGUGGAUUCAUUAUUCAUGAUGGACUGGGCGCCCGCUAGUGCUGCUGUUACUACUUCUGCAGGGAGCGCACUUGAGCAAGGGGACAUGGGUUUAUGA